UACGUAGGGACCGAGCGUUGUCCGGAAUCAUUGGGCGUAAAGAGCGUGUAGGCGGCUAUUUAAGUCCUGCGUGAAAUCCUGCGGCUCAACCGCAGACGGUCGUGGGAAACUGGAUGGCUAGAGUGCGGGAGAGGAGAGUGGAAUUCCCGGUGUAGAGGUGAAAUUCGUAGAUAUCGGGAGGAACACCAGUGGCGAAGGCGGCGAUCUGGGAAGAUACUGACGCUGAGGCGCGAAAGCGUGGGGAGCAAACAGG
rnacentral:rRNA from 1 species